AACGCACAUUGCGCCCUUUGGCAUUCCGAAGGGCAUGCCUGUCCGAGCGUCAUUAUCACCCCUCAGGCCCCCUCGGCUUGGUGUUGGAGUGUCCGUUCCGAUAUGGACCUCCCAAAGACAAUGACGGCGGCCCCGCGGCUUCCCGGUACACUGAGCUUCUUAAUCGGGCACGUACUGUCGGAUCUCCGGGGCCGACGGUCUCCCUCCGCGAGGAGAAAUUCUUUCAAGGUUGACCUCGGAUCAGGUAGGAAUACCCGCUGAACUUAA
rnacentral:misc_RNA from 1 species